ensembl:lncRNA
UGUAAAAUCAGUUACUACACUGUUAUGAUUUAGAUCAGUACCCCCCAUCUCAUGUGUUUGGAAGGUGACUGGAUCGCAGAGGCACUUCUACUUCUCAGUAGAUUCAUCCAUGGGAUGAAUGGAGUGAAUUGUAUUUUACCCAGCAUUCGGAAACAAGAUCCUGGAGCCAUUGUAUGGUUAGUACUCAAGAGAUGGCUUUCACCACGAGGUCCAUAUUCAUUCUCUUCCAAGAAUAUAACAGCUUCUUCAGACAAAGCCCCCAGCCUGGUCAUCACCGAUGCUUAAGGAAAGCCAGGCUGCUGGAUGGUGUCAGGCAGUUCCCAUCAGGGCCCCACCUGGCCUCUCAGAAGGGACACAAAUGGCUCUGCUGGUGAGCUCUGGAAUCACAUGGGCUGGGAAAGCACAACAGACCUAUUCUGCAGUGCCUCUAGUUCCACAUUCCUGUUCAUUCUACCAAGCACAAGGAAGCACACUUUUAAGGGUCCUGUUUUCCUUGUGGUUUAAGAAUAUGAAUUAUCCUUAUUUUUUCCUCAUUACACAAUCAGUGUAUCUUUAUUUUAGAAAACUUGUAGAGGGG